rnacentral:miRNA from 1 species
AGUCUCAUCGACCGGAAAGGAUUCCUUCCGGUCGAUGAGGGUGUUUUAAAUCCCUUCCGGCCGAUGAGGGUGUUACACCUCAUUGGCCGGAAGGGAUUCCUUCCGGUCGAUGAGGUA